UGCCUGGACACCACCUUCCUGCACUAAAGCUCUCUUCAGUCUGCAGCACACAAGAUAUUAUCCUGGCACUACCCUUACAGCAGAGUGGGUACUGCCAGCAGUCAUAGUGUUGUCCAGUGCCAUGGCAGAGGAGUCACACAUAAGCAUCCUGCCAGUCUUACAGGCAGAAAGAAACACACUUUGCAACUACAGAAUGAGAAAGGUAAACCAAGUCAGACAACAGCCACCUGGACAUGAGAAAAGUUUUAACAGCCAAAAAAGCCAGAACAAAGCUGCAGGCAGGUUAAAAGAAGUUCAGACAAAGCAAGCCUGGCAGCUUCUGGGACCCUGCAGAGCUGGAAUGAAGCUUCUGCCAUGCUACCAGCCACAGGAAGCCUGUGUUCACUGGACUCUCAGCAGAGAUCAGCAUCUGGGGACUACAUGGGGGAGGUCCCAAGUUUUUUAAAUAAAAAUCAUUAAGGACA